rnacentral:rRNA from 1 species
UGCAAUGGGCGAAAGCCUGAUGCAGCAACGCCGCGUGAGCGAUGAAGGCCUUCGGGUCGUAAAGCUCUGUCCUCAAGGAAGAUAAUGACGGUACUUGAGGAGGAAGCCCCGGCUAACUACGUGCCAGCAGCCGCGGUAAUACGUAGGGGGCUAGCGUUAUCCGGAAUUACUGGGCGUAAAGGGUGCGUAGGCGGUCUUUCAAGCCAGAAGUGAAAGGCUACGGCUCAACCGUAGUAAGCUUUUGGAACUGUAAGACUUGAGUGCAGGAGAGGAGAGUGGAAUUCCUAGUGUAGCGGUGAAAUGCGUAGAUAUUAGGAGGAACACCAGUAGCGAAGGCGGCUCUCUGGACUGUAACUGACGCUGAGGCACGAAAGCGUGGGGAGCAAACAGGAUUAGAUACCCUGGUAGUC